GCUUGAACCCAGGAGGUGGAGAUUGCAGUGAUCUGAGAUCGCACCACUGUACUCCAGCCUAGGCGACAGAGCGAGACUCUCUCUCAAAAAAAAAAAAAAAAAAAAAAAAUUAGGGCAAAUGUAAUGGAGACCUUCCUCAUUUUGAGGGCCAGCAGCACUUGGUGAUGAUGGAGAAGGAAAGGGGGACACAAGGUGGCACCUAGGUUUUUAGCUUGAGCCAGUAGUGGAUAGUGACACUAUUGUAGGAGUGAAGGACAAGCUUCCUCUCUACCCUCUGAAGGAUCCCUGAAAUGAACUGGCAAUAGACAGAUGAACAGGAGAAAAGGCAUAUUCAAAUUUAUUAACAUGCACAUGAACACAGGAGUUCCAAAAAUAUGAGACUCAAAGAAAGGCCAAAUGAUUGAAACUUACAUAGAGGGAGAUGGGGGAAAUGUAGGCAACUUGAAGGAUUGUAAAUGAUUUUUAGGGGAAUUGAAUGGACCCAAAGAGCAAACCACAAUGAGAUACCAUCUGAAACCAGUCAGAAUGGCUAUUACUAAAAAGUCAAAAAAUAACAGAUGCUGGCGAGUUUGUGGAGAAAAGGGAAUGCUUACACAUUGCUGGUGGGAAAGUAAAUUAGUUCAGUCACUGUGGAAAGCACUAUCACAAUAGCAAAAAUGGAAUCAAAAAAUGUCCGUCAAUGGUGGAUAAAGAAAAUGUGGUGCCAUAUACAUCACAGAAUACUACACAGUUAUAAAAACGAAUGAGAUUGUGUCCUUUGCAGCAACAUGGAUACAGCUAGAAGCCAUUAUCCUAAGUGAACUAAUGCAGGAACAGAAAACCAAACACCAUAUGUUCUCACAUAUAAGUGGGAGCUAAACAUUGGGUACAUAUGGAAAUAAAGAUGGGACCAACAGACAUUGGGGCCUACAUGGAGGUGGAGGGUGGGAGGAGAGUGAAGAUAAAAAAAACUAUUGGGUACUAUGCUUAUUACCUGAAUGAUAAUCUGUACACCAAACCCCUGUGACAUGCAAUUUACCCAUGUAACAAACCUCCACAUGUACUCCUGGAACUAAAAUGAAAGUUAAAAAAAAA
rnacentral:lncRNA from 1 species